ACGGAAGGCAGCAGUAGGGAAUCUUCGGCAAUGGGGGCAACCCUGACCGAGCAACGCCGCGUGAGUGAAGAAGGUUUUCGGAUCGUAAAGUUCUGUUGUAAGAGAAGAAUGUGUGUGAGAGUGGAAAGUUCACACAGUGACGGUAACUUACCAGAAAGGGACGGCUAACUACGUGCCAGCAGCCGCGGUAAUACGUAGGUCCAGAGCGUUGUCCGGAUUUAUUGGGCGUAAAGCGAUCGCAGGCGGUUUAAUAAGUCUGAAGUUAAAGGCGGUGGCUUAACCAUUGUUCGCUUUGGAAACUGUUAGACUUGAGUGCAGAAGGGGAGAGUGGAAUUCCAUGUGUAGCGGUGAAAUGCGUAGAUAUAUGGAAGAACACCGAUGGCGAAAGCAGCUCUCUGGUCUAUAACUGACGCUGAGGCUCGAAAGCGUGGGGAGCAAACAGGAUUAGAUACCCUGGUA
rnacentral:rRNA from 1 species